ACAAGCGUACACGGUGGAUGCCCUGGCAGUCAGAGGCGAUGAAGGACGUGCUAAUCUGCGAAAAGCGCCGGUAAGGUGAUAUGAACCGUUAUAACCGGCGAUGUCCGAAUGGGGAAACCCGGUGCACUUCGGUGCAUCAUCGUUAGCUGAAUACAUAGGCUAACGAGGCGAACCGGGGGAACUGAAACAUCUAAGUACCCCGAGGAAAAGAAAUCAACCGAGAUUCCCCCAGUAGCGGCGAGCGAACGGGGAACAGCCCAGAGCCUGAAUCAGCUUGUGUGUCAGUGGAACGGUCUGGAAAGGCCGGCGAUACAGGGUGACAGCCCCGUACACGAAGGCACACAGGCUGUGAGCUCGAUGAGUAGGGCGGGACACGUGAUAUCCUGUCUGAAGAUGGGGGGACCAUCCUCCAAGGCUAAAUACUCCUGACUGACCGAUAGUGAACCAGUACCGUGAGGGAAAGGCGAAAAGAACCCCGGCGAGGGGAGUGAAACAGAACCUGAAACCGUGUACGUACAAGCAGUGGGAGCCUUCGUAAGAGGGUGACUGCGUACCUUUUGUAUAAUGGGUCAGCGACUUAUAUUCUGUAGCAAGGUUAACCGUAUAGGGGAGCCGAAGGGAAACCGAGUCUUAAUUGGGCGUUAAGUUGCAGGGUAUAGACCCGAAACCCGGUGAUCUAGCCAUGGGCAGGUUGAAGGUUGGGUAACACUAACUGGAGGACCGAACCGACUAAUGUUGAAAAAAUUAGCGGAUGACCUGUGGCUGGGGGUGAAAGGCCAAUCAAACCGGGAGAUAGCUGGUUCUCCCCGAAAGCUAUUUAGGUAGCGCCUCGUGAAUUCAUCGUCCGGGGGUAGAGCACUUGUUUCGGCUAGGGGGGCCAUCCCCGGCUUACCAACCCGAUGCAAACUGCGAAUACCGGAGAAUGUUAUCACGGGAGACACACGGCGGGUGCUAACGUCCGUCGUGAAGAGGGAAACAACCCAGACCGCCAGCUAAGGUCCCAAAGUCAUGGUUAAGUGGGAAACGAUGUGGGAAGGCCCAGACAGCCAGGAUGUUGGCUUAGAAGCAGCCAUCAUUUAAAGAAAGCGUAAUAGCUCACUGGUCGAGUCGGCCUGCGCGGAAGAUGUAACGGGGCUAAACCAUGCACCGAAGCUGCGGCAGCGACACUAUGUGUUGUUGGGUAGGGGAGCGUUCUGUAAGCCUGCGAAGGUGUGCUGUGAGGCAUGCUGGAGGUAUCAGAAGUGCGAAUGCUGACAUAAGUAACGAUAAAGCGGGUGAAAAGCCCGCUCGCCGGAAGACCAAGGGUUCCUGUCCAACGUUAAUCGGGGCAGGGUGAGUCGACCCCUAAGGCGAGGCCGAAAGGCGUAGUCGAUGGGAAACAGGUUAAUAUUCCUGUACUUGGUGUUACUGCGAAGGGGGGACGGAGAAGGCUAUGUCGGCCGGGCGACGGUUGUCCCGGUUUAAGCGUGUAGGCUGACUUUCCAGGCAAAUCCGGAAGGUUAAGGCUGAGGCGUGAUGACGAGGCACCACGGUGCUGAAGUGACAAAUGCCCCGCUUCCAGGAAAGCCUCUAAGCAUCAGGUAACAUCAAAUCGUACCCCAAACCGACACAGGUGGUCAGGUAGAGAAUACCAAGGCGCUUGAGAGAACUCGGGUGAAGGAACUAGGCAAAAUGGUGCCGUAACUUCGGGAGAAGGCACGCUGACAUGUAGGUGAAGCCCCUGCGGGUGGAGCUGAAGUCAGUCGAAGAUACCAGCUGGCUGCAACUGUUUAUUAAAAACACAGCACUGUGCAAACACGAAAGUGGACGUAUACGGUGUGACGCCUGCCCGGUGCCGGAAGGUUAAUUGAUGGGGUUAUCGCAAGAGAAGCUCCUGAUCGAAGCCCCGGUAAACGGCGGCCGUAACUAUAACGGUCCUAAGGUAGCGAAAUUCCUUGUCGGGUAAGUUCCGACCUGCACGAAUGGCGUAAUGAUGGCCAGGCUGUCUCCACCCGAGACUCAGUGAAAUUGAACUCGCUGUGAAGAUGCAGUGUACCCGCGGCAAGACGGAAAGACCCCGUGAACCUUUACUACAGCUUGACACUGAACAUUGAGCCUUGAUGUGUAGGAUAGGUGGGAGGCUUUGAAGCGUGGACGCCAGUCUGCGUGGAGCCGACCUUGAAAUACCACCCUUUAAUGUUUGAUGUUCUAACCUGGCGCCGUGAUCCGGCGUGGGGACAGUGUCGUGGUGGGUAGUUUGACUGGGGCGGUCUCCUCCCAAAGUGUAACGGAGGAGCACGAAGGUCAGCUAAUCCUGGUCGGACAUCAGGAGGUUAGUGCAAUGGCAUAAGCUGGCUUGACUGCGAGAGUGACGGCUCGAGCAGGUGCGAAAGCAGGUCAUAGUGAUCCGGUGGUUCUGUAUGGAAGGGCCAUCGCUCAACGGAUAAAAGGUACUCCGGGGAUAACAGGCUGAUACCGCCCAAGAGUUCAUAUCGACGGCGGUGUUUGGCACCUCGAUGUCGGCUCAUCACAUCCUGGGGCUGAAGUAGGUCCCAAGGGUAUGGCUGUUCGCCAUUUAAAGUUAGGUACGCGAGCUGGGUUUAGGUAACGUCGUGAGACAGUUCGGUCCCUAUCUGCCGUGGGCGCUGGAGAAUUGAGGGGGGCUGCUCCCCAGUACGAGAGGACCGGAGUGGACGCAUCACUGGUGUUCGGGUUGUCAUGCCAAUGGCACUGCCCGGUAGCUAAAUGCGGAAGAGAUAAGUGCUGAAAGCAUCUAAGCACGAAACUUGCCCCGAGAUGAGUUCUCCCUGAGACUGUAAGUCUCCUGAAGGAACGUUGAAGACGACGACGUUGAUAGGCCGGGUGUGUAAGCGCAGCGAUGCGUUGAGCUAACCGGUACUAAUGAACCGUGAGGCUUAACC
rnacentral:rRNA from 1 species